GCUGGGUAUGGUGGCACAUGCCUGCAGUCCCUACUACUAAGGAGCUCAUGAGUUCUUAGCUGCAGUGUGCUAAGCCAGUCAGGUGCCCCAUGCUACAUUUGGGACCAAUAUGGUGGGCCCCUGAGUUCAGGGGGGCCACCAGGCUGCCUAAAGAGGGGCAAACCAGCCCAGAUUGAAAACAAAGCAAGUCAAAAUUCCUGUGUCAAUCGCAGUAGGAUCAGGCCCAUGAGUGGCCACCACACUCCCAGCUUGAGCAAGGU
rnacentral:SRP_RNA from 1 species